CGGGGUAUAGCACAGUCCGGUUAGUGUACCUGCUUUGGGAGCAGGGGGUCGCAGGUUCGAAUCCUGCUACCCCGACAA
rnacentral:tRNA from 1 species